rnacentral:rRNA from 2 species
GCCUACGGGGGGCUGCAGUGGGGAAUAUUGGACAAUGGGCGCAAGCCUGAUCCAGCCAUGCCGCGUGAGUGAUGAAGGCCUUAGGGUUGUAAAGCUCUUUUAGCAGGGACGAUAAUGACGGUACCUGCAGAAAAAGCCCCGGCCAACUUCGUGCCAGCAGCCGCGGUAAUACGAAGGGGGCUAGCGUUGCUCGGAAUCACUGGGCGUAAAGCGCACGUAGGUGGGUCGUUAAGUCAGGGGUGAAAUCCCGGAGCUCAACUCCGGAACUGCCUUUGAUACUGGCGACCUUCGAGUCCGGGAGAGGUGAGUGGAAUUGCGAGUGUAGAGGUGAAAUUCGUAGAUAUUCGCAAGAACACCAGUGGCGAAGGCGGCUCACUGGCCCGGUACUGACACUGAGGUGCGAAAGCGUGGGGAGCAAACAGGAUUAGAUACCCCUGUAGUC